rnacentral:rRNA from 1 species
UACGAAGGGGGCUAGCGUUGUUCGGAUUUACUGGGCGUAAAGCGCGCGUAGGCGGCCCGGUAAGUCCGCUCUGAAAGUCCAGGGCUCAACCCUGGAAAGCGGGUGGAUACUGCCGGGCUAGAAUCCGGAAGAGGCGAGUGGAAUUCCUGGUGUAGCGGUGGAAUGCGCAGAUAUCAGGAGGAACACCGAUGGCGAAGGCAGGUCACUGGGCCGCAACUGACGCUGAGGAGCGAAAGCAUGGGGAGCGAACAGG